ensembl:lncRNA
AGAAGGAGAGACGCUUGUCCCUGCGGUGUGGCGGACAGCGCUGGUGUGACAUCCCUGGGACCCUCCCCCAGCACGUGGAACGAAGCCUGGGUGUGUCGGCCCAGUCCUUCCUCCACUGCUUCACACUGGCCAGCGCUGCCUUCAACCUGCAGGUGGCCACCCCUGGGGGGAAGACCUUGGACUUCGUCGACGUGAACGAGAGCAAUGCGCGCUGGGUGCAGGACUUCCGCCUCAAGGCCUACGCCAGCCCUGCCAAGCUCGAGUCCAUCGACGGUGCCCGGUACCAUGCCCUCCUGAUUCCCAGCUGUCCUGGGGCCCUGGCCGACCUGGCCAGCAGCGGGUCCCUGGCUCGCAUCCUGCAGCACUUCUGCGCCGAGAGCAAGCCCAUCUGCGCCGUGGGCCAUGGCGUGGCUGCCCUUUGCUGUGCCACCAAUGAGGACAGAUCCUGGGUGUUCCAAGGCUACAGCGUCACAGGGCCCUCUGUGUACGAGCUCGUCCGGGCGCCCGGCUUCGCCCACCUGCCCCUGAUCGUGGAGGACUUUGCGAAGGACGCGGGCGCCUGCUUCAGCGCCAGCCAGCCUGACGCCGUGCACGUCGUGCUGGACCGCCACCUCGUUACGGGCCAGAACGCCGGCUCCACCGUCCCGGCCGUGCAGAACCUGCUCUUCCUCUGUGGCAGCCGGAAGUGAGGCGGCCCUGAACUGAGCCUGCCACCUGCACACAUCCUGGACGCCCCCCGGGCAGCUGGACUCUCAGGCCUCAGGGACCCUGCCUCCGUGACAUCCCGGCCUGGCCUGGUGGGGUUUCUGGAGGGCUCUCGGGGUGCUAGCCCUGGGGAGGCUGAGCCCCUGACGCCACACCUUCUGGCGGGGGGGGGUGUCAGGGCCCAGGUGCUGCUUUGGCUGCCACGAGGUCCCUGAGAUCCUGCGUGUUCCACGGAGCGAGUGGGCUGUGGGGCCCGGAGUGGGGAGCAGAGCCUGAGCCUUUCCGAAGCCUGGGGGGGGGCCUGCCGGUUGGGCAGUGGCGGCCAGGGCUUCCGGAGGCCCCGCCGGGGGGGAGGGGCCUCUGGUUGGUGUCAGACCUGACGGUGACCCCAUGUCAGGCCCGGGUGGAUCUCAGUGUCACCGUGUCCCUCCUGACGUUGAGAGAAACAGUUGGGACGCAGGGCCCUGCCCAAGUGGCCUCCAGGUGGUGCCCCGAGCCCAGCUUUGCAGCUGCUCUGCCUGUCUCACAGCAGCCACGACGGGCGUGAGCUUCACUGGGAAGGAGGCCAUGAGCGUGGCUGACCUGGGGUGGCAGGCAGUCCUCACCUCUCAGGCCCCGGACAGGCCUCUGCCAGGGGUGCCAGGCGGCUGUCCAGCCAGCUGGCUCCCUCUGCAGCCAGGCAUCUCCAGCCUCUCUGGGGCGCCUGGCCUGGCCCUCGGCUGGGCCCUCUGGAGCUGCUGGCCUCCAUGCGUGUCCCUUACCUUUUCCUGUCACCCUUAUCCAACCCCUCGUAACAAAAGGGGAGGAGGCAGGGCCCUGAGUCCGAGGCCACUUCCCUCCUGUGGCGUGGCUGUGGGCUCGGGCCGGGGACGGAGCCUGUGCCACAGCAGUGACAACGCCAGGUGCUUAACUGCUGGGCCACCAGGGAAGUCCAUGCACUGUCCUUUCUGUCCAGCGUUUCCCACGUUCCCAGGAUCAGAGCCCCUGACACCUGCUGGCCAGCUCUGUCCACGGUGGGCCUGGCCAGCCCUGCUGUGAGGCCUCUGGCAUCCCGGGCCUGCAGUUGUCCCGUGGUUACGGCCUGCUCUGGAUGAAAGGUUUUUUUUUAAGGAGACAGCUUGGGGGCCCAAUCCUGUGUCGUCUGCAGAGAGCUGCUUUGUGACGGGCCAGAUGCAGACCCAGGGGCUCUGCGGGGCCUCCCGUUUCAGGGCACCGGGAUGGGUGGUGGUGGCGGGGGGUAGGGGCUGGAAGGAGGAGAGGAGCCUGGGAAGAUGGUCGCUGAGUGUGGGCACCCGUGCCCUCUGGGGUGCCCAGUCUGCCCUAAAGAAAUAAAAACCUAGACCUCCACAG